rnacentral:rRNA from 1 species
GUAGUCUCGCACAGAUGCAUAUCAAUAAGCGGAGGAAAAGAAACUAACAAGGAUUCCCUUAGUAACGGCGAGUGAAGCGGGAAGAGCUCAAAUUUGAAAUCUUCAAGGUUUUACCUUGACGAAUUGUAGUUUAAAGAAGUGUUUUCUGUUGAAGUUUUGGUAAAAGUUCUUUGGAAUAGGACAUCAUAGAGGGUGAGAAUCCCGUAUUUGACCAUUAUUUUCAGCUGUGUGAUACACUUUCAAAGAGUCGGAUUGUUUGGGAAUGCAGUCCAAAAUGGGUGGUAAAUUUCAUCUAAAGCUAAAUAUUGGCGAGAGACCGAUAGCGAACAAGUACCGUGAGGGAAAGAUGAAAAGAACUUUGAAAAGAGAGUUAAACAGUACGUGAAAUUGUCAAAAGGGAAGCGUUUGACACCAGUGUUGUUUUCUCCGAAAAUCAAUUAAAAAGAGUUUGAUUUUGUUGUGUAUUGACCUUAACAGCUUGCAUUUCAAUUUUCUUGCUUUUUUAAUGCACUUUUCGUUUAACAAGUCAACAUCAGUUUCUUUUGUUGUAAAAAGGUCAUUGGAAGGUGGCUUUCUUUUCGGAGAAAGUGUUUAUAGCCUUUGACUCCUGCAAUCGGAGAGACUGAGGUCUGCAGUGUAGAUCCUUCGGGGUUAGAUACAUUUGUGCUAAGUUAUAGCUUUUUAUAGACAACUUGUUGACUAUGAUUAGUCUUGUAGCUUACUCGCUUAUGCUAUUUUACCUACGCUUAGGAUGUUGAGCGCAUGUCUCUCUCU